AAAAACAUCGCCUCUUGUAUAUUUGUAAAUAAGAGGUCUUACCUGCCCUGUGACUUAUGUUUAACGGCCGCGGUACUCUGACCGUGCAAAGGUAGCACAAUCACUUGUCUUUUAAAUAGAGACUGGUAUGAAUGGUUUGACGAGGGCUUGACUGUCUCCUUUUCUCAAUCAGUGAAAUUGAUCUUCCCGUGCAGAAGCGGGGGUGUUAUUAUAAGACGAGAAGACCCUGUGGAGUUUUAAUCAUAUGGUAGUCUUUGCAAGCAGAUUUUUUCUCUAAAAAGAUAAACUAGUGAGGUUCUGUCCUUAUGAUUUUGGUUGGGGUGACUGUGGGGAAUAAAAAACCCCCAUGUGGGAUAGGAGUACAACUUUUUAAGACUAGGGUGAUGGCCCUAAACAUCAGAACGUUUGACCUUUUAGAUCCGGCAAAGCCGAUUAACAAAACAAAUUACCCCAGGGAUAACAGCGCAAUCCCCUCCGAGAGUCCUUAUCGAAAAGGGGGUUUACGACCUCGAUGUUGGAUCAGGACAUCCUAAUGGUGUAGGCGCUAUUAAGGGUUCGUUUGUUCAACGAUUAAAGUCCUACGUGAUCUGA
rnacentral:rRNA from 1 species